GGAGUGGUAGUUCAGUUGGUUAGAAUACCGGCCUGUCACGCCGGGGGUCGCGAGUUCGAGUCUCGUCCACUCCG
rfam:Paraglaciecola arctica BSs20135 DNA, contig: CTG052.